rnacentral:rRNA from 1 species
GUAGGGGGCGAGCGUUGUCCGGAAUGACUGGGCGUAAAGGGAGUGUAGGCGGCAUAUUAAGUUAUGUGUGAAAGCCCGCGGCUCAACCGCGGAAUUGCACAUAAAACUGGUAAGCUGGAGUGCAGGAGAGGUAAGUGGAAUUCCCGGUGUAGCGGUGGAAUGCGUAGAUAUCGGGAGGAACACCAGAGGCGAAGGCGACUUACUGGACUGUAACUGACGCUGAGGCUCGAAAGCGUGGGGAGCAAA